UAGCCAGGCUGGUCUCAAUGUCGUGGCUUCAAGUGAUCUCCCCGCCUUGGCCUCCUGAGCAGCUGAAAGUAUGCGUGGGACCACUGCCCCUGGCUCAAGUUCCACAGACCCUCAUGGCGCCUCUAGCCUCUACUGACCGUGGUCCUGGCAACCUGUGCGGGCCAUGGGGAAGGUCCUGACAGCCUGCGCGGAUGGUGGGGAAGGGCGUCUGCGUCCAUGAGGCUGGGGCUCCAGCAGCCCCUCUUCUUGGCUCUCAGCCUGAGAAAAAGGUGGCAAGGGGAAAUCGUUCAAGCCUCCCGGGUUCACAUCUGCAGGGUAUGUACACUAGCAACACAGCAGAACACAGAGAGACUUGGAAGCUUGUCUUCAGAGACAGUAAGUAUAUUUUUCCUGGUGAGAGAAUCAGUGCCCUACAACUACCUCUGUUCCACUUUCUUCAGUAGCCAUAGACCCUCUGAUGAGGACACCCCUCCAACAGGCACCACCAGGCAGCCCUGCCUCAAGACCCAGAGGCACCAAGUCACAUCAGCUCUGCAGCUCUGCAGACCUGGCUCUCGCUUGAUGUGGGCCUGUGUACUCCAGCCCAGAACAUGAAAGAAGACAUCCAUGCAAAU